CCCGCGCAUCGCUCCGCCGCUUCUCCGUCCGCAAGGCCGGAGGGGAGGAAAGUCCGGGCAGCACAGGGCACCGUGCUUCCUAACGGGAAGGGGUAUGGCCGGCGACGGCUGUGCCACGGAAAGUGCAACAGAAAGCAAACCGCCGAUGGCCGCAAGGCACAGGCAUGGGUGAAAGGGUGGUGCAAGAGACCACCGCGCCGCCAGUGAUGGCGGUGGCUGGUAAACCCCACGGGCUGAAAGACCAAAUAGGCCGGGGCUCCCGUCUUCGGGCGGGAAAAGGGCGGCCCGCCCGAUCCCGGCGGGUAGGUCGAUCGAGGCCGCGCGCGAGCGAGGUCCCAGAUAAAUGGCGGAGUCCCGCAUGCUUGCAUGCAGGAACAGGAUCCGGCUUAUAGAUGCGCGGGCAUU
rnacentral:RNase_P_RNA from 1 species